GUCAACUUUGGCAGCACAUAUAGUAAAAUUGGAACGAUACAGAGAAGAUUAGCAUGGCCCCUGCACAAGGAUGACACGUAAAAAAUGAUCAGUAGAAGGGUAAUAAAUAUUA